rnacentral:rRNA from 1 species
UACGAGAGGCCCAAACGUUUAUUCGGAAUUACUGGGCUUAAAGAGUUCGUAGGCGGCAUUGCAAGUAGGGUGUGAAAGCCCUCGGCUCAACCGAGGAAUUGCGCUCUAAACUGCAGUGCUUGAGGAACCUAGAGGUGAGCAGAACAGAUGGUGGAGCGGUGAAAUGCGUUGAUAUCAUCUGGAAUACCGGAGGCGAAGGCGGCUCAGCUGGGAGUUUUCUGACGCUGAGGAACGAAAGC